rnacentral:lncRNA from 1 species
CAGUGAAUGAGACGAGUUUGAAAUUGGUCACAGGGGAUGGGCCAUCACCAUUAUGACGCCGGCGGCCAUGUCUGCCCCCACCUUUGGAAACGGUUUUAAAGGCCAUGACAUCAUCCCCCUCGAAUCUUAUUGGCUCUCUUGGUGUUAGAGUCCCUGAAGAUUUAUUUUAUACAACGUUUGACAUGUUUGAACGAACCUACAUGCGCGAGGAUUGCUUUCAUUAUGAACUUCAGAGCUGCGCUUGGAGAGAGCCAUAGGACGCGCUACCAACAUCAGGCUAAUGGAACGUGAAGUAUGGACUUUUUGACCGAAAAUACAUCUGUUGUGGACCUGGGAUGCUUUCUGAUGAAGACAACUAAAGUGCCCACGCUGUUAUCCAGCGACACCCUAAGUGAGAGACUGAUCAACCACUACAGGAAGUGAGAGACUGAUCAACCACUACAGGAAGUGAGAG